rnacentral:misc_RNA from 1 species
CUUACCCCCUAAUUUCUGUCCUUCUGACCAGCCCACCUAACAGCCGUUUCACCCCUCGCGGCCGGCUUACCGAAUUGCGUCAUACUGUUACCAGAGACGCGAAAUUCGAGACCUCACCACCUCGUUAUAUGCUGUUCUUGCAUUGAUCUCGUCGGAUAACGCGAGAGUGGCAAAAACCGUAAGUCAAAGAGCAUCCGUGACCGAUUUUGAAAAGUUUCACACCGAUCUCCGCAUAUACUCGCAACCAGACACCUACGUGUAAGUACGCGUCUAUGGAGUCGAGCCACGAGCGAAGCAGCAACAGGUUUAAUCGCGUCGGGGUGUGGCUGACUGGCUGGCCGGCUCCGCUCAUUCGGCUGCCCUCCGUUUGAUGCUGGUUUAUAAGAUCGAUGCGACACACACUGGGUAUCGUUGCGCGGCGCGAAUGAAAGCGGAAUGCUCGUUUUGCCGCGUCGAUG